AGUGGAGGCGGAGAGGAACGCCUUUUUUAAUGGCGGCAUUUUGAAAGCCGGCGUUUUGGUGUGGGAUUGGUUUGUUUUGGCUUUGAUUCGAGACUUAGUUUCGGUUUGUUAUUAUAGGAAAAAUGAAGGACGCUCCAUUGUUUUAGUAAACGCUUGCAGUUUAUGAUGAAGAUAAAGUCUAGGAUGGUUCUGAAAUACGUCUGGUUGCCAUACAAAAGCAGUGAAUAGGUGGUUCUCCACUUUAAUUUCCGUUUAUUUUUUGGUUGUUUCUCCUUUUUGUUUUCCACCCGUUUUAUUUGUACCCACAACUGCGCGUGUUUUGUACUAAUGUUGUGCGCACAUACCUUCACUAUUAAAUCAACGAACUGCUCCAUUAUUAAACGGAGACUAAAUGGAUGUUGCCAGGCCCCUGAAAACGCCCAGAAUACCGGACUGGAGAGGCGCUUUCUACACCGGAGGUGAUCCAUCCAAACCUACAGAACCCGUACACACACGGGAGGGGGAGGAGGAGGAGGAGAAGAGGAAGAAGAGGGGUGUAGAAACGUGAAGGAGGACAGGUGUUGGGAGCUGGUGUGCGGGUUCCUGUUGACUGACGGGGCCUCCAGGAAUCCGCUGCCGCCUGGAUCUGCCGCCUGUUCCCGAGAAGCCAGGAGAGCGACGUCAGUCCCCGCACUGAACCGCAAGCGCACCCCCAAACCCCCCCCUCCCUCUGCGCCACGCUGGCGUAUACGUGGGCCGGGCGGGGGACCCCCUUUUAAGAAGCCUCUGAGGUCGCCUGCUGGUCGUGCGGUCUGGUUUUGGGAGAGCUGGCCCAGUUCUCUGGCUGGUGAGAUGCGGGGAGCGCUCUGCCACCCCCCCCUCCUCUGUGCCACGCUGGCAUUUAUGUAGGCACAGGGUGACCCCUUUUAAAAAGACGCUGGGCUGCGGUCU